GACGAACGCUGGCGGCGUGCUUAACACAUGCAAGUCGAACGGAAAGGCCCUGCUUUUGUGGGGUGCUCGAGUGGCGAACGGGUGAGUAACACGUGAGUAACCUGCCCUUGACUUUGGGAUAACUUCAGGAAACUGGGGCUAAUACCGGAUAGGAUCUCCUGCUGCAUGGUGGGGGUUGGAAAGUUUCGGCGGUUGGGGAUGGACUCGCGGCUUAUCAGCUUGUUGGUGGGGUAGUGGCUUACCAAGGCUUUGACGGGUAGCCGGCCUGAGAGGGUGACCGGGCACAAUGGGACUGAGAUACGGACCAGACUCCUACGGGAGGCAGCAGUGGGGAAUAUUGCACAAUGGGAGGAAGCCUGAUGCAGAAACGCCGCGUGCGGGAUGACGGCCUUCGGGUUGUAAACCGCUUUCGCCUGUGACGAAGCGUGAGUGACGGUAAUGGGUAAAGAAGCACCGGCUAACUACGUG
rnacentral:rRNA from 1 species